UACAGAGGGGGCGAGCGUUGUUCGGAAUUACUGGGCGUAAAGGGCGCGUAGGCGGGCGGCCGCGUCCGGGGUGAAAUCCCACGGCUCAACCGUGGAACGGCCUCGGAUACGGGCGGCCUCGAGGGGGGUAGGGGCAUCUGGAACUGUGAGUGGAGCGGUGAAAUGCGUUGAUAUUCACAGGAACUCCGGUGGAAGGCGAGGUGCUGGACCCCAUCUGACGCUGAGGCGCGAAAGCCAGGGGAGCGAACGGG
rnacentral:rRNA from 1 species